rnacentral:rRNA from 1 species
AAUCUUCCGCAAUGGACGCAAGUCCGACGGAGCAACGCCGCGUGAGUGAUUAAGGUUUUCGGAUCGUAAAACCCUGUUGUUAGGGAAGAACAAGUAUCGGAGUCACCGCCGGUACCUUGACGGUACCCUACGACAAAGCCACGGCCAACUACGUGCCAGCAGCCGCGGUAAUACGUAGGUGGCAAGCGUUGUCCGGUUUUAUUGGGCGUAAAGCGCGCGCGGGCGGUCUUUUAAGUCUGAUGUGAAAUCUUACAGCUUAACUGUAAGCGGUCAUUGGAAACUGGGAGACUUGAGUGCAGAAGAGGAGAGUGGAAUUCCAUGUGUAACGGUGAAAUGCGUAGAGAUAUGGAGGAACACCAGUGGCGAAGGCGACUCUCUGGUCUGCAACUGACGCUGAGGCGCGAAAGCGUGGGGAUCAAACA